AUUGAACGCUGGCGGCAGGCCUAACACAUGCAAGUCGAACGAGUGGCGGACGGGUGAGCAAUGUAUGGGAAACUGCCUGAUGGAGGGGGACAACUACUGGAAACGGAAGCUAAUACCGCAUACCAUCAGAUGUGCCCAGUUGGGAUUAGCUAGGUGGGGGGGUAACGGCUUACCAAGGCGACGAUCCCUAGCUGGUCUGAGAGGAUGAACAGCCACACGGGAACUGAGACACGGUCCAGACUCCUACGGGAGGCAGCAGUGGGGAAUAUUGCACAAUGGGCGAAAGCCUGAUGCAGCCAUGCCGCGUGUAUGAAGAAGGCCUUCGGGUUGUAAAGUACUUUCAGCGGGGAGGCGUUACCCGCAGAAGAAGCACCGGCUAACUCCGUGCCAGCAGCCGCGGUAAUAC
rnacentral:rRNA from 1 species